CUUAUUUUUCUCCGCAAUACUUGCUACCAUGGAACACACUCCAUCUGUUUCUUACCUACCCUCUCUCCCCAACAGAAGGAAUGCUCCAUGAGGACAGGGCUCUUCCUUUGCCUCAUUUCCUGCUGUGUCCCAGCACCUAGAACAGUGCCUGGCACAUACUUCAAGUGGUACCACUUCUGUUUGUGCGUCUGGCUGCCCUCCACCUGCUAGCACCUUCCUGUCUCUCCUGGGGAGCUUUCUCCACUGUCUUUGAAGGAUGUUCCAGCUGGAAGUGCUCAGAAUUAACACCCACUGAGAGCAGCCUCAGCCAAUAAUACUGGGGUAUAAAUACUCCUGCUCCCUGGCCCUUCAAAUGCGAUAUCUCUGAGGCAUGUACAUGUGCCACACCAUUUCCCAGAGCUGCUCUGUGGGAUUGAGCUCCCUCGCCCUCGCCGUCUUCAUUCCCUGCUCCUCACUGCUGUUUGCUGCACCUCCCAAGGGCGUUGCUUCCUUUGCUAUCCUUGUCUCAGGGUCGGCUUCUGGGUGAACACAAAUUAGCACCAUGCUCACAAGUAUAUUUGAGAACUGCUGUAUGAGUAAUUAUACAUGUCAAACAGAUUUCUAAAAACACUUACCAAGGUGAUAUACUUGUCACCUCUGAAAGGUGAGAUGUCAGAUGCUUUGUAACUGCAUCUGUCUAUGUUGAUAUUUCUACAAUUAGCGAGAGUCAUUUCUACAACAAUAAUAAAGCUGCUUCUCACAGCCUCCCCCACACACCUGUAACCGGAGUCACGAGUGAACCAAGAAUGAGAUGGGCCUCUCUCCUCCACAGCAACAUAGGAACUCGGAGAAGAUGAGGGGAGCUUUGGGAAAGCUCUGGGGCUACGGUUGGGUCACUGCUUGUAGCGAAGAGCCACCAAAGGGCUCCCCUGAGAGGAGAGAAGCUGAGCGAACACUCGAGCUCUCUGGUGCACAGAUUUUCAGGAGGUGUGAACGCUGCAUGUGGUUCAUGUGGCAAGAAGACAAGUCGUGCUGCUCUCUGGUCAAGGAUUUGUUUGGAGAACCAUGACCAUCCCCAUCUGGUGACUUUAAAGUACUUGCCUUAAGAGAUGUGAAAACAUAUGUCCACACAAAAACUUGCACAUGAAUGUUCCCAGCAGUAUUAUUCCUAAUAUCCAAAAAAGUGGAAACAACCCAAAUGUCCAUCAACUGAUGAAUGGAUAAACAGAAAUGUAUUUAUGCAGUGGAAUGUUAUUUAGCCAUAAAAAGGAAUGAAGCACUGAUGCAUGCUGCAACAUGGAUGAACCCUGAGAACAGUAUGCUAAGUGAAAGAAGCCGGACACAAGAGGCCACAUAGUGAAGCCAGCCUUGCCUCAGGGAGGUUUGGUUUGGGGGCUGAAUGCAGAAGUUGUGCAGAGAAGCUGGCUUAUGUUUUCUGGAAGCCUGGAGCCUGGGAGGGCUUGGAGAUUAGUGGACUCCAGGCACUGCAGACCGGAAGGUGCUCCCUACGGUGCCUGAGGCAGGUGGCACAAUGGCAGGACUUCUAUGGCGAGGUUUCGUCGUGUCUCAGAGGCUUAGGGCCUCGGCCUAGGAUUCCCAGCUUCAGCCAAGAUUCCCAAGCUUGGAACGGAAGCUGCCACAAGCCUGCCUCUCUACAGGGACCCACUGGGGAUAUCAGCAGAAGACUUGGUCUCAGGAGAAGAGAGGACCCAUCCUCAUUUUCCAGGCCCACGUAACCUCCUGGAUUUUCACAUGUCCCCAGGGAAGGGGACAGCCUGCCCCACCCCACUACCACCCAUAUUUUCCUGCCAGCCCAGAGGAUGAGGUCUCCAGGCCCGAGGUAACUUGAAAUCAAGGAAGAAAAGGAAUAUGACAAGUGUUACCCACCUGAGUUUAGAGUAAGAGUCAUAUUGCACGACAAUUAGAUAAAUUCAAGGUGAAUCUUAGAACAAGGUCACGUUGCCUCUCCAGUGGUCCCUUGAGUGGGAGAGAAAGGCAUGACGUCACAGUACAGUUCCAGGGGAAUUGCUUGUGACCCUCCCAAAGGAGCAUGCUCCCUCCGAAACCACCUGUCCUGCAUCACUGCGGAAACGAUUGGAAGUCAGCACUUCAGAGUGUGGGUGAGAGAAAGGUGACGAGAGUUUGUCACGUUUCCUCAGUGGGGUCCACCUUAUCAUGAACCGAAAAUAUCACUCUCUCCUGCAUCCAUCGGACAUGCUGACCAGCCAGAGGUGACCUGUGAACACAGGCAAGUGAGCGAAUAGAAUCUAACCUAGGAGAGGGUCCCAAACCACCUGAGCAGUGAGCCUUCUCGCAACAUGAAGAAACAUGAAAAGGCCCGACCCAUUCCAGCAGCCAGCCCCGCCCCGCCCAGCCCAGCCCAGCGCCUGGGGAAGAGUCAGCAAGCUGCCUGUGCCUGUGGUUUCUGUCCCGUCCCGGCUUGCCUUGACCUGGUGCAGGGCAAGAAAUGGAACGCCGGCUCCUGGGAAUGACAGCUGGCUUGGGAAUGCUGGUGUCAGCGCUCUGUCGGGGGCCGGGCCGUCUGCACACGCAGACACCUCGUUAGGGCAAGCCCGAGAACGGCCGGGGAGCUGCUGUCUCUGUCCAUCUGUUGUAGACCCGGGUAACCAGGAGAAAUGGGAGGUGGGCAGCUUCUGAACCUAUAGCCAGCUGAGUUCUGGUUCUCUUUCCACAGGGCUGCACACUUAGCCAGACUUAACUGUUCCCAUGUGUCUCCUCAGAGGUUGCCCACAUCACAGUUCACCUCAAAGUCUGUGACAGACCCAGCAGUAAGCAGAGUGGGGCUUAAUAAAUGUUUCAGUGGAGAGGCAGUGUACUUAUUGAGUGCCAACUGUGUGCAAGGUAUCCUGCCAGCUAUAAAGGGGAACGUGUUCAGGGAACUUUCAGUCAAGUGGGUCGUAAGCACAUGCCUACAUGAUUUAGAACCCGUGGAUGCAAACAUGUCUUGUUUGACCCUCGGAGUUUUAAAAUCUUAUACCAACUUAAAAAAAAUUGGCUACCAUCUGUAUAAAAAAGAGGUUUUGUGUGUGUGUGUGUGUGUGUGUGUGUGUGUGUGUGAGAAUGUCUGAAGGGCUCCAGAAGAAGCUGGUGACCAGGGUGGCCUCUUCAGAGAGGGAAUUGGGGGCCAGGAGUGGGUGGG
ensembl:lncRNA